rnacentral:rRNA from 1 species
CUGGCGGCGUGCUUAACACAUGCAAGUCGAACGAGAGGAGAAGGAAGCUUGCUUCUUUCGAAUCUAGUGGCAAACGGGUGAGUAACACGUAAACAACCUGCCUUCAGGAUGGGGACAACAGACGGAAACGACUGCUAAUACCGAAUACGUUCCUUAGGUCGCAUGACUUUAGGAAGAAAGGGUGGCCUCUACUUGUAAGCUAUCGCCUGAAGAGGGGUUUGCGUCUGAUUAGGUAGUUGGUGAGGUAACGGCCCACCAAGCCGACGAUCAGUAGCCGGUCUGAGAGGAUGAACGGCCACACUGGAACUGAGACACGGUCCAGACUCCUACGGGAGGCAGCAGUGGGGAAUCUUCCGCAAUGGGCGAAAGCCUGACGGAGCAACGCCGCGUGAGUGAAGAAGGUCUUCGGAUCGUAAAGCUCUGUUGUCGGGGACGAAUGUUGAGACCUAGAACAUAGGUUUCAAAUGACGGUACCUGACGAGGAAGCCACGGCUAACUACGUG